rnacentral:lncRNA from 1 species
GUUUAAAUAUAGAGUACAAUUUACUGGUAAUGUGUACCUUGAGAAAAUGUCUAUUUUAGUAGUUGGCUAGUCUGUAUCUUUACUUGUAAGAAUGACUGUUUGUUCAAUCCAGACAAUUCUCAAAUGAGUAGGAGGUGCCUUAAGGUCCUACUUGGUCUUAUAAAUUAUAUGACUUUUUUUAAAUGAUUUGCUAGGUACGUCUAUGUGAAUAGUAAAGUUUUGCAAAUAUUAUACACAUUCAUUCAUAUCAAGAAUUAAAAAAAAUGGAACAUUAAUAUGGAAUAUUUUUAGGAGGAAAAUAUUGCAUGCAAGAUCCAUGUACAUAUUUACCAGAGUGUUGUUCAUAUAGACAAGCACUGCAGUAAAUUAUCUAGUUAUGUCUCAUGCCCUGACUUUUAAAAGUAUGAAUAUCAACCAGAAUCUUCUAUUUUUCAGCAAAGUUCAAAGGUUUAUAUUCACCUGACAACAUCACUUCAUUUAUUUUACAAACAUAAAACUAGUACACAUUUUUUGCCCCUAUCCAUCCCAGCCCCAGUAUCUCUCUUUCAGAAUUGAAAUUUUACCACUAGUGAUAAUAUAAUGGGAAUUUCUAUGCAGGCAUUAUUUUAAAACAGGACUUUUUUUAUGUAAAAAUUUCAAAGGAGUAAGUUCGGUAAAGGCCAUAUUUGGUCUCAAUUAUAAAGUUCAAAGUUACAAGACAAUAAAUGUUUUAAGUUGCCUAAAAGACAUGUGAGAAAGUUAAACAGAACUGUUUUUGUCAAAGUUUAGUUCUAACACGUUGUUAUUAACAUCCCAAAAAGGUCAAGAUUAGGGAUUUUGGUGAAAUUUGACAAAAUCAGCUGGAUUUCAACCAAAUUAAGGGGGUUCGCGGGUCUAAAUCACAUUUUUUUAUUUAAUAUAGGAUUUAGCUAUAUUUUUCUAUAAAUGAACUUUAUCUUAUACUUAGUAGAAAAAAGAAAUAAAAAAAUGGGGUCACCGUUCAUUUACGCUCACAAUCUGCCUUCGAAAGAAGCAUUCAUUUUUUGUUAAUGUCCUUUUUUUCUGUUGAACUAGUAGGAGAAAAAGUGAUAAUAACGAAAUUAAAAAAAGAACAAAAUUACAAAAGUCGCUUAAAUUUUACAAUUAUUUAGUUGAUGUAUAGCUUAUUCGAAAACAACAAUAAAAAAUAUAGGUCACCGAUAAGUUAAAAAAGAUGUUUCAAUUUUAAUGCCAAAAAAUGGCAUUUUUUUCACCAAAGGGAGAUAAUUUGGAGCUUUUUCACUGAUAUCUACAUUUUAAAAGUCACCUAGGGCCAACACAAAUUGAUUUCUUGGAAUGAUUUUUAUACCAUAUGAUAAAGUACCAACUACUAAAGGUAAUUGAUAAAAUUUGUAAUAAAAAAUAAAUGUUGAAUUUUUUUCUGAAAAUCUUCUACCCGCGAGCCUCCUUAAGGACCAGGAACAUGGAGUGCAGGCGUCAACAAACAUAAUAUUCAAAUAAGACAUGUGAAAUGUCUUCACAAACAUUAUUACAAAACAUCUUUGUUGUCGACGUAAUCGCUCUAAGUUUCCUGUCCAAUAAUCUAUGGAAAUUUACCCAUUUUCAUUGAUUUUUUCGUGAAAAAUCAAUAUUAGUACAACUUGUGACGUAAUAAUGAAACGCAGAAACGUAAAAUUUUCAACAAAAUGGCUUAUUUCCUAUCUAGUCACUGUAUUCGCUAUAAUUUAUUAUGAUAUUUGGUCAAUAAAUCCGAAUUUGAAAUUUUCCCUAAGAAAGAGGGCCAUACUCCUUUCAGACCAAUUACUCCUUUCUUUUCAAAUCAUCAUAAAAAUUAUUACACAUUGGACACGGUUGAAUAUUUGAACAAUAAAACUACAAAUUUAAAACAACUUUUGAUACAGCUGAUACUACAGUCUAAUAUAUCAAUGGUAAGAAUUUAAAAAAGAAUUUACAUUUCCAAGACAGAAAUUCUUUGUAAGGAAGUAAGUAAAAUACUCCACUAAAGAAAUGUUUCCUUCUCAAAGCCAAUUAUGAAUAUUUUUCUGAUCAUUUUUACGCCUACAGAAAAGUGUGUCCAAUAUGACAGACUAAGUGACAUCCAUGUUUCAAUAAGAUGACACAGUCAGCAUCAUUAAUCUAUAGAAGUCAAAAGUGAACAUUAAAUCACUUCCUUUUUCCUAAAUUACCAACAUUUUCUUUUUUAAAGGGAAACAGGAAUAGAUGAUGACAACAAGCAUAAUGUUAUACAAUUUUAUUCAACAAGGUUAAAUAUAUUGCCCAACUAAAAG